CUGUCGUCAGCUCGUGUCGUGAGAUGUUGGGUUAAGUCCCGCAACGAGCGCAACCCUUGCCUUUAGUUGCCAGCAGUUCGGCUGGGCACUCUAAAGGGACUGCCGGUGUUAAACCGGAGGAAGGUGGGGAUGACGUCAAGUCCUCAUGGCCUUUAUGACCAGGGCUACACACGUACUACAAUGGCCGAUACAAAGGGCAGCGACACUGCGAGGUGAGGCCAAUCCCGUAAAAUCGGUCUCAGUCCGGAUUGGAGUCUGCAACUCGACUCCAUGAAGUUGGAAUCGCUAGUAAUCGUGGAUCAGCAUGCCACGGUGAAUACGUUCCCGGGCCUU
rnacentral:rRNA from 1 species